GUAAUGCCGGAUGCUCCGACUCCUCGCAUGGGGUGUCGGGAAAGAUUUCAUCGGUAUGGGAUGGGGUCGCGUCCUAUCAGGUAGUCGGCGGGGUAACGGCCCACCGAGCCUACGACGGGUAGCCGGCCUGAGAGGGCGACCGGCCACAUUGGGACUGAGAUACGGCCCAGACUCCUACGGGAGGCAGCAGUGGGGAAUAUUGCACAAUGGGCGCAAGCCUGAUGCAGCGACGCCGCGUGCGGGAUGACGGCCUUCGGGUUGUAAACCGCUUUUGAUCGGGAGCAAGCCUUCGGGUGAGUGUACCUUUCGAAUAAGCACCGGCUAACUACGUGCCAGCAGCCGCGGUAAUACGUAGGGUGCAAGCGUUAUCCGGAAUUAUUGGGCGUAAAGGGCUCGUAGGCGGUUCGUCGCGUCCGGUGUGAAAGUCCAUCGCUUAACGGUGGAUCUGCGCCGGGUACGGGCGGGCUGGAGUGCGGUAGGGGAGACUGGAAUUCCCGGUGUAACGGUGGAAUGUGUAGAUAU
rnacentral:rRNA from 1 species